rnacentral:rRNA from 1 species
UACGUAGGGUGCGAGCGUUAAUCGGAAUUACUGGGCGUAAAGUGUGCGCAGGCGGCCGAGCAAGUCGAGUGUGAAAGCCCCGAGCUUAACUUGGGAACUGCAUUUGUGACUGCAUGGCUAGAGUGCGGCAGAGGGGGAUGGAAUUCCGCGUGUAGCAGUGAAAUGCGUAGAUAUGCGGAGGAACACCGAUGGCGAAGGCAAUCCCCUGGGCC